rnacentral:lncRNA from 1 species
CGCGCUGCAGAAUAUUAUAUAUGAGCACUUCUGAAAUAAAUGUCCUAAUAUCUAAUAUUACCAUUAUACCUUUACUCUCCUCUCUUCACUAAAAUACUAACACUACACACAGCGCGGCUCCCCCUCGCGCCACACACGCUUAGCCACUGAUCUCAUUUCCCGUGCCUCACUUCCUCCGGAGGCGUCCGCGAGCCAGUUCGAGGCGGUCGGAGUCGCAGGGUGCGCGCGCUCCGUCAUCACGGCGUUACCGGGCAACUUCAGCACGGACCGCGCGGACACCACGGACCCCUCAGCUGCCGCUGUUCUCCCCCCACGACCGGCCUCUCCUUCAGCGCGGCGGCCCCCCGCUCCACCAUGAGUCCGAGCUGAUCUCCAGUCCGGGGGUUCUGGGGGUCCAGGUCUGCAUCGUGAGCGAGCGUGUGAGCUCUUCCAGAGGAAGGAGCUGCCUCGGGCCUCGUGCCCCAGGUUCUAAGUGAAGCUGAGUUAUAAGACGAGAGGCUCUGAGACGCUGAGGCCACUGAGGUCAUAUUCCAAAUCCUGAUCGAGAAACCUACAGUACCCAGCAGCAGCAAGUCAUCACAUCUUCGUCAUCUUAUCCUCUCUGUUUCACUAACUGCAGCUCAAACUGCAGCUUCUGCAGUGUCAGAGUGUCUGAGAAUAUAAUGGGAUGAACUUGGAGUAUGGCUGUAUAUUGGUAUAAAUCUGGAAAUGCAAUAAUUAUCAAGAUACAAUCAUUAAGAUUUAAUAUUUUGCAAUACCGUAGGCAAGGCAGUAUAUUGCACACAAAAUAAAAGACUCUCACAUGAGCA